rnacentral:lncRNA from 1 species
UUUCUUCCCCGGUUAAUCCAAUAACCCCAUGCGAAUAAGCCAUUGAUUAGGGCAACAAUAUAAAAAGCGGCGAUAACAGCGAAAAUAGCAAAAUCUCAAUAGUUUAGGUAUGAGGCUGCGGUGAAAGCGGAGAGCUGUGGGGAGUUUCUAUGGGUGGUUUUUGCCCCUCUUUGUCUUUCUUCGCCGCCGAUGAUCACUCAAAUGAAAAAAAUAAAUUCCGAUUGCAAAACUAGCCUUUCGGUGAAAAUAAGUGUUACUCCGUUCACUUUUACUUUUGGGCAAUGAGGCUAUGAAGAUUAUUGUCUUCUGCGGAAGAUGAAACAGACAUAUUGCUAUUGAGCUCGAAAAAACUGUAACUUGGCGUGGCAGCUCAGAUGGGUCUGUGAGAUAUUGGAGAAAGUUCCCUUUCAGGGUGUUUUUACCUCUCAUAAGGCUAACUGAUGCUUGCAGCCAUGACGGUUUUUUCAAAGCUUUUUGGUUUUUGUCUGAGAAAAGGCGAAUCUGAGCCUACCCCAUUACUUUGAUUUUUGUUUUUGGUUUUCCCUAUGCUCCUUGAUUAUGUAGGCGAAAAUCUAAGCUCAUCCCUCGAUUUAACUUUUAGUUCCAUUUCUGAGACUGUAACUCGGAGAUGCUUUGUGGGAAUAAUUCUUAGCUUGAAGAUGGUUGAUUUUUCCAUAAUGUUAGUGGAAUAAUUUCUCCAAAAUUUAUGAGUUUUAGUAAUUGAAUGAGAAACGGCGAUGAUAGCAAAAAUCAUUGAUGGCCAAAGAUCAAAUAAGAAUGCCAAACUACCACAGAUCUUCUAUUUGUUGUGAAUUAAUCUCUUGACUAGUAUGGUAACUCAACCUUAACAGCACUGUAUUUUUAUUUGCGCCGAUUGAAACAAACUGAGUCUGAGUGUUGUCCGAUGUGGCAUUGCUAAAAAGAAGUCUUGUUAGUUACAAAUCAUGUCAAGAUCCCUUGCUGCAAGGUACUCUUGCAUUUUUGCAGACAAAAACUUGCAGGUGAUGGGUUUUUGUUCCCAUUAAGAUGAAGUACUAGUUUGAAGUGGGGCUAGAUUCUGAUGUGUAAGAAAUAUUGUAAAGAAACUACACUUAUGUUGAUGAAAACUCCAGGAACUGCGUUUGUCUUUAAGUUCCAAAUUUCCGUGAAAUCACUGUAGAUUCUAGCUACAGCAGGAACGAAAUGGAGAGAGGAGGAUUGGAAAUCAAUAAUGUUUGAUUGGGAUGAUCUAAUGUUCUUGAAAGAGCUAUUUUGCUUGGUCACAGCUAUGGACCUUGUUGAUAUGAGUCAAUAGCAUCUGCCCCAUAUCUUAGAUAUUUCUGAUAAGCAGGAUAAGUUGAUCCAGAUAUUCUCCAUUAGCUCCUUUAAGUAAUAACCACCACUACAACGACAACAUACUCAGUGCGAUCCAUAAGUGGGGUUUGGGAAGGGUGGAAUGUAGGCAACCCUAAGUAAUAAUACCUUGUUGAUAUGAGUCAAUAGCAUCUGCCCCAUAUCUUAGAUAUUUCUGAUAAGCAGGAUAAGUUGAUCCAGAUAUUCUCCAUUAGCUCCUUUAAGUAAUAACCACCACUACAACGACAACAUACUCAGUGCGAUCCAUAAGUGGGGUUUGGGAAGGGUGGAAUGUAGGCAACCCUAAGUAAUAAUGCCAAUUGAAGGUCUGUUAUUAAUGCAGAGAUGAAAGGAUAUCCCUUUAAUUAAUGCCUUUCUAGAGCUUUUGGCUAAAAUCAAGUAUCCAAGAACCACAAAUAGUAGUCUCUAGCAGGGUAAAUGGAGAUCCAGCCAAGCAUAGCUGCUCUAGUGAGUUAUGAGCUAUUGCGCUUGCAAUAAUUAUAUGUAAAAACUUCCAUUUACUUUUUAUUUGUAAUUCUAGGCAUUGAACAGGUAAAUGAAACCCUAUGUGUGUUCCUUUUUCUCUUUAAUGUGGACCUGUUUGCGAGUGUGCAUUACGAAAUUUGUCGAUAUCAGAAGGUGUACAUCUUUAUAAAACUGCCACCAACCACAACCAAAUAAAAAAUUCUCUGUUUUUUUAUUCUGGGGAUGUAAAUGCUAAGGUCUAUUUUUGAGUUACGUUAUUGCUAAAGAUGUACUUCUUAACACCUUAGGCUAUUUUUCUCCCCUUUUUUUUUGUUUUUUAAAACUCUCUGUAAUGAAUGACAAUGCUCUGCCUCUUUGAUAUGAGUGUGCCUAAAAGUGUUCGCUUUUUUACUUGAAUUUUAGGAAUGUGAGUGCUAACAUCUAUUUUUGAGUUUCCUUGUUGAUAAAUAUGCUCUUUUGAUUGAUACUUAAUCCUAUUCUCCACUCUCUUUUGAACUCUGUAAUGAAUGGGAAUGCUCUUGCUCUGAGAUUGGUGUGACUUAAUGUGUUUUUCUUUAUCUAGAAUCGUAGGCAUCAUUAUUAAAAGUGUACUUUCUGAUACUUUAGCCUUUAUUUUCUGUGUUUGAACUCUGUAUAAAGAAUCACAAUGCUGAUUCCUUGAUGUGGGUGUGCCUAAAUGUGUUUUCUUUUGUCUAGAAACUUAGGCAUGUGAAUACUGACGUCUAUAUUAAGAUACUUUGUUGCUGAGAUGUUUUAUUGGAGUAAUCCUUAUUGGUAAAGCGCAUAAUUUCAGUCAUGUUACCUGUAUUUUGAACUGUAAUUUGAUACUCAACUUUGAAAUAAUAUAAAACCACUCGAUCAACUUAUGCAGGUGCUAUCUCCGCACUUCAUGUUGUCAGAAUACAAGCCAAAAGCUAAGACAGGCGAUGCAUUUACAAGUGAGUAAGCUCAUUUUAUAAAUUAUGCAAAUUUUGUAGUUGUUGCCUGCUUUAUGAAUACCCACUAAUCUUUGAGAUCGAUUCCAUGCUAAUUUGUUUUUUGAGUCCUUGUUUCUAUUGGUAUUUUGCCGCAUUUUGUGAUUGACGUAAACAAGAUGUCAUACUUCUUGCUCUUCUCCUUCAAUUAAUUGUGUAUCCUGUGCAUAAAGGAAUUCAUCCUAAAUGAUGAGUAAUUCAAGUAAGCUAUGGAUUAACAUCCAAAUGAAGCUUUUUUGUCAUAGUUACACUGAUAGAUGAGAUUCCUUUAUAUGUGUUAUCCUAGGGUUCCUUUUUCUUGAUGAAUGAUCUCAUAGUUUGUUAUGUUGUAGAUAACAAGAAAUAUAAUACUUGAUAAAAAAAGAAGAGAGAUAAUACUUAUUAAAAAAGAGAUAUUACAUGAGCGCCGAAGGGAGUGGCAUAGUUGUCAAUGAAGUGAGUGAAAACCCUAGAGACUGGUUCAAAUCCCAACCGCAACAACAAAAAAGGCUGUUAUUUCUUCUUAUCUGUCUAUGCCUUGGUAUGUUAGAGUUAACCAAUACCUGUAUUGAUGAAAGGCAAGCAUGUAUCUAGUGGAAUUGUCGAGGUGUGCACAAUAAUGGUCCGGAUACAACCAUUAUAAAAAAGAAAUACAUGUCUUUUCUAAACUGCUUUUUGCUGAUCCUUGGAUGUUACAGAAGCAUUUUACCUCCCAAAAUUUUCCAGUAAGUUUUCGUGCACCUCUUACUAGAGCGGUUUUCAAAAAUCCGGUUAAGCAACAUAUACAUCGCUUUUGCUGCUUUGAAAGGGUGUUUAACAUUAUUUAAACGGAAAAGGGCCAACAUUGCCCCUAGACACUGUUAAAUUGAACAAUUUUGCCCUCCUUUAAAAAAGUUUCUCGUUCCUAUUCCUGCCGUUAACAAAGUGGCUCGAUUUUGCUCUUAUGGGCUAACAACAACAAUUAAAGGACAAAUUUAGACCAUUCACAAAGUCCAUUCUGGCACUACUUAGCAAAGAGGGAUAAGUUAGAAUAGGAAAAUCACAACAACUGUUAUUAUUCUGGAGAAUGAUUUGCAAGGCUUCAUAUCUUUCACCUCAUAACUCCCUGUAAAUUUUGUAAUGCAUAACUUCUCAUCCUUCUCAAUUACCUCAAAUCGAAUUCUGUAAAAAUUAAACCCAAGGUCAACAUAUCCACCUUCAAUCAGCACAGAUUGCUUGUAUAUUUUCUCAUUAUCCACUAUGUUGAAUCUCUCGAAAUAUGGUAUUCCUGGUGUACCUGUUUUAAUAAAAGUUAAACACGAUGCAUGUAGAAAAUACAUAUCAGAUGUUGAUCAAUAAUUUGUUGUAAUACUUUAGAUGAACAUCCUUAUGGUCAACUUUGGUCUCUGUGUGGGUGUAUAUAGUAUAGUUGAAUGUGACAUGCACUGUCUUGACUUCUUAUCUCUUUGGAGAUUCAUUCAAAAAGAAAUCUACAGUACCUUUCUUUAUAGUAUGAUCUUUCUGUGUCCAUGUCUUUGGCUAUGUAAUAUCCAGGUUGUUUUGGCUUAUCCACCUUAGUAAAUAGUCAUUCUUUGGUGAUAAUGAUGAUGAUUCUUCAGAGCAAAUGGUAUUAGGAAUUGAUAUGGCAAGAGACGCAUAUCUUGGUGAGAUAAGCCUAUCCUGGAAGGUUACUACCAUGCCCAUGAUGGUGUUGGAAAAUCUCAAUGCUGAACAUAAAGCCAAUUUAUGCUCACUUUUAAGCCAAAACAAUGUUAAAAGUAGGGCAUUAUUUCAUAGCUAAAGUAGGUGCUUGGCUUAUAUGUAUGGAGUAACUUUCUUCAAUUCUUGUGCUUUCCCUGCUCAUCCUUUAAUUUCUCUUGUAAAGUUCCAGCAAUUUUAAUCAAUGUGCAUCAUAUUUAGUUCGCAUAUAUACGUAUUAUCUUACAAAGAAAAGCCUUGUAGAACAGCACGUCCUUAAAGUACUUGUAAGGACAGACAUGUUCUUGUAAUGUGUUUUUAGUUCACAGUACUGCGACAAAAGACUGUUAGUGUUAGUUUGUGGUUUUGAUGAAUAUAGUUCUCUUAUGUGUGCUUUAAGUGAAGAAGGCAAAAACUCUAGCAACGAUUCUUUUUCCUCUAAAAAGAAGCAUUGGUAGAGUUUUUGUCGCCCACUUAAUGCUCGCAUGCCAUCUAUCUGAGAAGGAAGCUCUAAAUAUAAAUCGAGAAUUUAUUUCAUGUAAUGAUCAUCUUUAGAUUGUAAUUUAUUAAGUAAUAGGAUUAGGCAAAGGUCCAAAUACAUCCAUGUACUUUCGAAAAUGAUCUAAGAAUACCCCUCAUUAUACUAUUGGGUUAUCUAUAUCCCUGCAGUCAUACUUUGGGUUUAAAUAUAUCCUUUAUUUAAACGGAGGUACACAUGUCAUCAUGCAACAGGCCAAUUAUAAAUAUCUCCUAAUUAAUUAAAAAGUAAUUUUCUAAAGUAAUUUUUUUUUUUGUAAAAAUUGGAAAAUACUGAAAAAAAUUGAAAAAUAUUUCUAAAACAAUGUUUUGUAAAAACUGUUUUGUAAAAACUGAAAAAAAAACUGAAAAGCAAUUUUAAAAGCUGAAAAAAACUGAAAUUUUUAACUGAAAACUGAAAAAAAAGAAAAUAUUUAUUUUUUCAGNNNNNNNNNNNNNNNNNNNNNNNNNNNNNNNNNNNNNNNNNNNNNNNNNNNNNNNNNNNNNNNNNNNNNNNNNNNNNNNNNNNNNNNNNNNNNNNNNNNNNNNNNNNNNNNNNNNNNNNNNNNNNNNNNNNNNNNNNNNNNNNNNNNNNNNNNNAAAAAAUCAGCCUUUUCCAGUUUUUACAAAAAAAAAUUGCUUUAAAAAAUUACUUUUUAAUUAAUUAGGAAAUAUUUAGAAUUGGCCAACAGGACGAUGACACGUGUCCCUCCGUUAAAUGAGGGGCAUAUUUGAACUCAAAGUAUGAUUGCAUGGGUAUAGAUAACCCAAUAGUAUAACGAAGGGUAUUCUUAGACCAUUUUCGAAAGUACAUGGUAUAUUUGAACCUUUGCCGAAUAGGAUUUAUCCUUCUCAAAACCAUUAGUGCCAGACUACUGCUGACACCAUGUAGUAAUGUGAACAUCAGGAUUUUUAAUAUCUCAUGGAGAUAAACAUGGAAUACAUGUGAUAAAAUAGUAACCAUGUACGAAAAGUUUCUGCUGCAGCGGGUUUAUGCCUCUCUGUAUAGGUGUUUGUUGUUUGUAUCAUGUCUUUCCCUUAGAUUCGGUCUACUCUUGUUUAGUCAACAUUGUCCUCUACUUUUUCUUAUUCUGAUCAUUGAAUGCAUCAUCUAAAUCUUGCUUCUUGCAGCAUAAUAUAUAUGGAAUUAUUCUCCUAAUUAGAGAUUUCGAUAUUUCUGAUCCAUUUCUAUUUGAGUAUAUCUUGUCCUCAUUGCAUUUAAAAUAUAUUAAUACUUCAUUGCAGCUUUAAUCUCAAUUGUGUUGCUGGAUUUAAUACUCUUUAAGUUUACUUAGCUUUCUGUUUUGAUUCUUUUUGUCGUUGGGUGGUGCAGGUGGUGGUGUUUGAGCAAUUUAUCCCAUAGUAUUUUCUGUCAGUUACUUCUGCCGCUAACUUUGUAUAGCUGAAAGUUGCCAAAUCGGUUGAAAGAAUUGGAAGUUCACUCUCUGAUUGCUGUAGCGUUGUGCAUAUUUACCCUUUAUGCAUUUCAAUCUGCCGGUGAAAAGGUGCACUUGAGAGAAUUAUACAUUUUGUCAAUAUUAAUUUUUCAAAGCCAAUUGUCGCCUAGGGCACACCAUUGCCGUUCUUGUGGAAUGUGUAUACGGGAUGAUAUUCGGCCAAAAAUGCAUAUAUUUAAUCAUUGUUGUCUCACAUUCUAGUACUUUUAAUUUUCUCUCGAGUGUUAAUUAUAUCACUU